AUUAGACAAAGCUAUUGAAGCUGAGGACAAAAAGCACGGUGAUUUCUUGCGUCUGGAUCAUAUUGAGGGUUAUCUUGAAUUGUCCGCCAAGACGAAGACUUACUUUGCCACAGCUGUUAACUUAUGGGAUGCUGAGUAUUACAUCAAGGUUGAUGAUGAUGUUCAUGUCAAUAUAGCUACACUGGCGGAAACAUUAGUAAGGCAUAGUAAAAAACCACGUAUAUAUAUCGGGUGCAUGAAAUCUGGUCCUGUCCUUUCCAGGAAGGGUGUAAGGUAUCAUGAACCGGAAUAUUGGAAAUUCGGAGACAAGUAUUUUCGUCAUGCUACUGGACAAAUAUAUGCCAUUUCUAAAGACUUAGCUACUUACAUAUCAGCAAACCAGCAUGUACUUCAUAAAUAUACAAACGAAGAUGUGUCACUGGGAGCUUGGUUUAUUGGACUCGAUGUGCAGCAUAUCGAUGAUCGUAGACUGUGUUGUGGAACCCCACCUGAUUGUGAAUGGAAG
rnacentral:misc_RNA from 1 species